rnacentral:rRNA from 1 species
AUUGAACGCUGGCGGCAGGCCUAACACAUGCAAGUCGAGCGGAUGAAGGGAGCUUGCUCCUGGAUUCAGCCGCGGACGGGUGAGUAAUGCCUAGGAAUCUGCCUGGUAGUGGGGGAUAACGUCCGGAAACGGGCGCUAAUACCGCAUACGUCCUGAGGGAGAAAGUGGGGGAUCUUCGGACCUCACGCUAUCAGAUGAGCCUAGGUCGGAUUAGCUAGUUGGUGGGGUAAAGGCCUACCAAGGCGACGAUCCGUAACUGGUCUGAGAGGAUGAUCAGUCACACUGGAACUGAGACACGGUCCAGACUCCUACGGGAGGCAGCAGUGGGGAAUAUUGGACAAUGGGCGAAAGCCUGAUCCAGCCAUGCCGCGUGUGUGAAGAAGGUCUUCGGAUUGUAAAGCACUUUAAGUUGGGAGGAAGGGCAGUAAGUUAAUACCUUGCUGUUUUGACGUUACCAACAGAAUAAGCACCGGCUAACUUCGUG